UUAGGGAAUUAAGAAUAGGUUAAGGUUUGGUUUAGGAAAUCGAGUUCGGGUUCGGGAUCGGCUUUAGGUUUGGGUUUUCAAGUUUAGGCUUAGGUUAGGGAGUUGAGAUUAGGAUUAGGUGUAGGUUUAGGUUUAGGGAUUUGAGAAUAGGUUAAGGUUUAGGUUUAUGAAAUCGGGUUCCGGUUUGGGAUCAGGUUUAGUUUGGGUUUUCAAGUUUAGGUUUAGGUUUAGGUUAGGGAGUUUAGAUUAGGAUUAGGUGUAGGUUUACGUUUAGGGAUUUGAGAAUAGGUUAAGGUUUAGGUUUAGGAAAUCGGGUUCGAGUUCGGGACCGGGUUUUAGGUUUGGGUUUUCAAGUUUAGGUUUAGGUUUAGGUUAGGGAGUUGAGAUUAGGAUUAGGUGUAUGUUUACGUCUCGAGAUUUGAGAAUACAUUUAGGUUUUAGGUCAUAGGUUUUGGUUUUGGUUUAGGUUUAGGUUUAGGUUAUAAGCUAUAGGUUUAAGGAAUUGAGAAUAGGUUAAGGUUUAGGUUUAGGAAAUAGGGUUUGGGCUUGAGAUCGGGUUUAGGUUUGGGUUUUCAGGUUUAGGUUUAGG